UACGUAGGGGGCAAGCGUUAUCCGGAUUUACUGGGUGUAAAGGGAGCGUAGACGGCUUUGCAAGCCAGAUGUGAAAGCCCGGGGCUCAACCUCGGGACUGCAUUUGGAACUGUAUGGCUGGAGUGUCGGAGAGGCAGGCGGAAUUCCUAGUGUAGCGGUGAAAUGCGUAGAUAUUAGGAGGAACACCAGUGGCGAAGGCGGCCUACUGGACGGUGACUGACGCUGAGGCUCGAAAGCGUGGGGAGCAAACAGG
rnacentral:rRNA from 1 species